rnacentral:lncRNA from 1 species
AUGAAUAACCAAAUGAAUAACCAAAUGGCAAUGUUCUGCUCAGAUAGCAAUUAUUUUUCUACUGAAGAUGAAAUAGUUCCUAAAUUUAUAUCACAUAAAGAAUUUUUAAAAUAUGAUAAUUAUGUUUUGAAAUUUUUAAAUAACUAUUUUAAAAAUACAAAAUCAAAAAGAAACGAACGUAAAAGAAAACAAAAAGAAAUAGAGGUAGAUACUAGAGAAUAUGGACAAGAAGAUGUAGAACUUAUUAAAUGUAAAGAUAUGUUUAGUGAUUUAAGUGAAGCAGAUUCAGAAAUAGAUGCAGCAGAUUCUGGAAUAGAUGCAGCAGAUUCUGGAAUAGAUGCAACAGAUUCUGGAAUAGAUGCAACAGAUUCUGAAAUAGAUGUAACAGAUUCUGAAAUAGAUGUAACAGAUUCUGAAAUAGAUGUAGCAGAUUCUGAAUCAGAUGAGGUGGAUAGCACAGUACAAGGCGAAAUAAAAGUUGAACAUAAUGAUGUACAUAUCGAACGGAAUGAAACAUAUACCGAGUUAGAUAAUACUUACAACAACCAGUCGAACAAACCAAAUGAACAGACAACCUAUGUAUAUGGACAAAUACGUGAAGCAGAGGAGGGCUCAAAAAAAAAUAUAAAUGAAUCUGUAUGUCAUGGGAACAUACAACCAAAUGAGGAACAUAACAGUUGCCAAAACGAUAAGAACAAAAAAAAUUGUGAAUAUGUAUAUGGUGAGGAAAGAAAAAUAAAAAAAAGUAAAACGUCAGAAACCAGUUUUAUUGUACAAACGAAUUUUAAAUCAGUUGAAAAGGCAACAACAAAAUCAAAAAUAAAAAAAAUAAAAAAUCGGAAUAAUUUAUAUAAAGAAGAAAAUAUAAAAUUAGAUAAUUCGCAAUUAAAAACUAACAUCAAUAAUGAUAUUUUUAUGAUGCUUAAAAAUAAUAACUUGAACACUUGGGGAAAUUUUUGUAAUAACUGUAAUAGUAUUAAUGACAAAAGAGAUUGUUAUAAUAUAUAUUAUGAUAGUUUUUUUAUUCCCAAAAAAUUAAAAGAAUAUAAUUUUAAAGAUAAUGAUAAACAGUUAGAGUAUUUAAGUAUCAUAUUAGAAGAAAUACAUUCUAUUUUUUAUAAACUACUUGAUCAUUUUAAAACAUAUAAAAUGGAUAACAUGGAUAAAAAUGAGGAAAACGAGGAAAUAAUAUAUGACCACUUCUUGCGAUACCCCAUUAUUAAAACAAUAUUGCAGGAGUUAAGAAAACAGGUUUUUAGGGGUAAGUAUUUUGUACGUAUACAUACAUGUGUGUGAAUACGUAAACAUGUGUGUGGAUACGUAAACAUGUGUGUAAAUACAUAUAUAUAAGUGUGAAUAAGUAUAUAUGGGGUGUAUCUUUAUAUUUUAUUUUAUUUUAUUUUUUAUUUCAUUUUUUUUGUUAUUUUUUUUUUUUUUCUUGUGACAGAUUGUUACUUUAACAUGGAUUUACUUUCAGAAGAUAUACAAAGAAGUGACUUUAUAGAAAAUAUUAAAAAUUUUGGUGGGUCUGUAAAUAAUAAUAGUUGUACUCAUAUAUUGGCAAUAAAUAAUUUAAUAAAAAGUGAAUACUUGGGAAA